AUCGUCUAUAAUCCGGAAAAUGAUCCGGAGUUGGUUUUCAUGUUAGAUCUAGAUCGUGUGACGCAGACAACGUUUGAACGCUGCAGGACAGAUAUUUUAAAGAUAAACGAGAACCUUUAUGUAUAACAGCUUGAUAUAAAGGAAAAAAUGACGUCUGCCAUUCAGAAGAUGGUUUUCUACUUGCCCAGGAAAUUGACUACAACUUGUAAACUGUCAGUGUAAAUCCAAAUGCACAUACAACACAAAUAUCAACAACUGCAAGUGACAACAGGCUAUACAAAAAGCAGUGCCAAUAACGAUUAUGGG
rnacentral:lncRNA from 1 species